rnacentral:rRNA from 1 species
UGGGGGAUAUUGCACAAUGGGCGAAAGCCUGAUGCAGCGACGCCGCGUGGGGGAUGAAGGCUUUCGGGUUGUAAACCUCUUUCGCUAUCGAACAAGGCCCGCUUAGGGUGGGUUGAGGGUAGGUGGAGAAGAAGCGCCGGCUAACUACGUGCCAGCAGCCGCGGUAAUCCGUAGGGCGCGAGCGUUGUCCGGAAUUAUUGGGCGUAAAGGGCUUGUAGGCGGCUUGUUGCGCCUGCUGUGAAAACGCGGGGCUUAACUUCGCGCGUGCAGUGGGUACGGGCAGGCUUGAGUGUGGUAGGGGUGACUGGAAUUCCAGGUGUAGCGGUGGAAUGCGCAGAUAUCUGGAGGAACACCGAUGGCGAAGGCAGGUCACUGGGCCAUUACUGACGCUGAGGUGCGAAAGCAUGGGUAGCGAACAGG